rnacentral:rRNA from 1 species
CAGCGCCGCGGGAAUACAGAGGGUGCGAGCGUUAAUCGGAUUUACUGGGCGUAAAGCGUGCGUAGGCGGCUUCUUAAGUCGGAUGUGAAAUCCCUGAGCUUAACUUAGAAAUUGCAUUCGAUACUGGGAAGCUAGAGUAUGGGAGAGGAUGGUAGAAUUCAAGGUGUAGCGGUGAAAUGCGUAGAGAUCUGGAGGAAUACCGAUGGCGAAGGCAGCCAUCUGGCCUAAUACUGACGCUGAGGUACGAAAGCAUGGGGAGCAAACAGGAUUAGAUACCCCCGUAGUCCCUGUCUCUUAUACA